GAGUGGCGAACGGGUGAGUAACACGUGGGUAACCUGCCCAUCAGAAGGGGAUAACACUUGGAAACAGGUGCUAAUACCGUAUAACAAUCGAAACCGCAUGGUUUUGAUUUGAAAGGCGCUUUCGGGUGUCGCUGAUGGAUGGACCCGCGGUGCAUUAGCUAGUUGGUGAGGUAACGGCUCACCAAGGCCACGAUGCAUAGCCGACCUGAGAGGGUGAUCGGCCACAUUGGGACUGAGACACGGCCCAAACUCCUACGGGAGGCAGCAGUAGGGAAUCUUCGGCAAUGGACGAAAGUCUGACCGAGCAACGCCGCGUGAGUGAAGAAGGUUUUCGGAUCGUAAAACUCUGUUGUUAGAGAAGAACAAGGAUGAGAGUAACUGUUCAUCCCUUGACGGUAUCUAACCAGAAAGCCACGGCUAACUACGUGCCAGCAGCCGCGGUAAUACGUAGGUGGCAAGCGUUGUCCGGAUUUAUUGGGCGUAAAGCGAGCGCAGGCGGUUUCUUAAGUCUGAUGUGAAAGCCCCCGGCUCAACCGGGGAGGGUCAUUGGAAACUGGGAGACUUGAGUGCAGAAGAGGAGAGUGGAAUUCCAUGUGUAGCGGUGAAAUGCGUAGAUAUAUGGAGGAACACCAGUGGCGAAGGCGGCUCUCUGGUCUGUAACUGACGCUGAGGCUCGAAAGCGUGGGGAGCAAACAGGAUUAGAUACCCUGGUAGUCCACGCCGUAAACGAUGAGUGCUAAGUGUUGGAGGGUUUCCGCCCUUCAGUGCUGCAGCUAACGCAUUAAGCACUCCGCCUGGGGAGUACGACCGCAAGGUUGAAACUCAAAGGAAUUGACGGGGGCCCGCACAAGCGGUGGAGCAUGUGGUUUAAUUCGAAGCAACGCGAAGAACCUUACCAGGUCUUGACAUCCUUUGACCACUCUAGAGAUAGAGCUUCCCCUUCGGGGGCAAAGUGACAGGUGGUGCAUGGUUGUCGUCAGCUCGUGUCGUGAGAUGUUGGGUUAAGUCCCGCAACGAGCGCAACCCUUAUUGUUAGUUGCCACCAUUCAGUUGGGCACUCUAGCAAGACUGCCGGUGACAAACCGGAGGAAGGUGGGGAUGACGUCAAAUCAUCAUGCCCCUUAUGACCUGGGCUACACACGUGCUACAAUGGGAAGUACCCCAAGUUCCGGAAGACUCGGAGGGGAUUCAAAUCCCUUGAAACGUCCCUCCACUUUGUGAUUCGACGGGUCACUCCUCCCGUUACUAAACCACGAACGCCCAUUUAUCGAGCAGAACCCUCAACCCCUGC
rnacentral:rRNA from 1 species